UGGGGAAUAUUGGACAAUGGGCGAAAGCCUGAUCCAGCCAUGCCGCGUGUGUGAAGAAGGUCUUCGGAUUGUAAAGCACUUUAAGUUGGGAGGAAGGGCAGUAAGCGAUUACCUUGCUGUUUUGACGUUACCGACAGAAUAAGCACCGGCUAACUCUGUGCCAGCAGCCGCGGUAAUACAGAGGGUGCAAGCGUUAAUCGGAAUUACUGGGCGUAAAGCGCGCGUAGGUGGUUCGUUAAGUUGAAUGUGAAAGCCCCGGGUUCAACCUGGGAACUGCAUCCAAAACUGGCGAGCUAGAGUAGGGCAGAGGGUGGUGGAAUUUCCUGUGUAGCGGUGAAAUGCGUAGAUAUAGGAAGGAACACCAGUGGCGAAGGCGACCACCUGGGCUCAUACUGACACUGAGGUGCGAAAGCGUGGGGAGCAAACAGG
rnacentral:rRNA from 1 species